rnacentral:misc_RNA from 1 species
GCAAAACACUGAAGUAUCAAACAUUGAAAUAAGAAAGAGAAAGCAUGGCAAGAUUCAGUGUAAUCAAGAAAUGCAUACGUGUUGGUCAAUUUGACCUAAAGACCUACAAGCCCACUCCACCUCAACUUUUUCGGGCAUGUGGCUUAUGUAGAAAACAUCUAGGUCAACUAGAAAACUGGUCCCACCCUAAAUACACGGUCAAUAUAUUGGUAAAUUAACAAGAGAUUUUACUGGUCAACUUGACUGCAAAAAGAAUUAACAGCAAUUAUCAGUCUUCUACAUCACAUUCUCUUCUUAUACAGGCCAAGUAUAUACCAGUGAAAACACUACUAUAGAUGCAGCAAUUUGCAAUUCAUAGAAUUCCAUUCCAUUAUUUGAAUUACUUUAGCCCUCUUUACUUUUGCAGUCUUCAUAGAUCAAAGAUCAUAUCCUCUUCAGGCAACUCCAUACACCAAGAUGCAUCCUUGCACAAUCUGUACUUUGUUGAAAACACAAAAAUACAUCUGGGAUCAAAUGCUACAUACUU